rnacentral:rRNA from 1 species
GGGGUCAUCGCGACUUACCAAACCAUUGCAAACUCCGAAUACCGAGACGGACUGUAUGGGAGACACACGGCGGGUGCUAACGUCCGUCGUGAAAAGGGAAACAACCCAGACCCACAGCUAAGGUCCCAAAUUUUGUGCUAAGUGGAAAACCAUGUGGAAAGGCACAGACAGCCAGGAGGUUGGCUUAGAAGCAGCCACCCUUUAAAGAAAGCGUAAUAGCUCACUGGUCGAGUCGGUCUGCGGGGAAGAUUUAACGGGGCUAAGCACAGAACCGAAGCUUGGGGUGCAUAACUUUGUUAUGCGCGGUAGAGGAGCGUUCCGUAAGCCGUUGAAGGUGGAUUGAGAAGUCUGCUGGAGGUAUCGGAAGUGCGAAUGCUGACAUGAGUAACGAUAAUGCGGGUGAAAAACCCGCACGCCGAAAGCCCAAGGUUUCCUUGCGCAACGUUAAUCGGCGCAGGGUGAGUCGGCCCCUAAGGCGAGGACGAAAGUCGUAGUCGAUGGGAAGCAGGUUAAUAUUCCUGCACCUCGCGUAAGUGCGAUGGAGGGACGGAGAAGGUUAGGUGUACCAGGCGUUGGUUGUCCUGGGGAAAGGCGGUAGGUUUGGAUCUUUGGCAAAUCCGGGAUCCUUUAAGACCGAGCACCGAGACGAGCCUUUAUGGCAAAGUCACUGAUACCACGCUUCCAGGAAAAGCUCCUAAGCUUCAGCUUACGCAGACCGUACCGUAAACCGACACAGGUGGGUAGGAUGAGAAUUCUCAGGCGCUUGAGAGAACUCGGGUGAAGGAACUAGGCAACAUGGCACCGUAACUUCGGGAGAAGGUGCACCCUUUUUGGUGGCUCGUGCGAGCUAUAGCUGAAGAGGGUCGCAGUAACCAGGCCGCUGCGACUGUUUAUCAAAAACACAGCACUCUGCAAACACGAAAGUGGACGUAUAGGGUGUGACGCCUGCCCGGUGCUGGAAGGUUAAUUGAUGGGGUCAGCCGCAAGGCGAAGCUCUUGAUCGAAGCCCCAGUAAACGGCGGCCGUAACUAUAACGGUCCUAAGGUAGCGAAAUUCCUUGUCGGGUAAGUUCCGACCUGCACGAAUGGCGUAACGACAGCGGCGCUGUCUCCACCCGAGACUCAGUGAAAUUGAAAUCGCUGUGAAGAUGCAGCGUUCCCGUGGCAAGACGGAAAGACCCCGUGAACCUUUACUAUAGCUUUACACUGAACGUUGAGUUCGUCUGUGUAGGAUAGGUGGGAGGCUAUGAAACCAUGGCGCUAGCUGUGGUGGAGCCAUCCUUGAAAUACCACCCUGUCGUGCUUGACGUUCUAACCUGGGCCCAUUAUCUGGGUCGGGGACCGUGUAUGGUGGGUAGUUUGACUGGGGCGGUCUCCUCCUAAAGAGUAACGGAGGAGCUCGAAGGUACGCUCAGCGCGGUCGGACAUCGCGCACUGUGUGCAAAGGCAUAAGCGUGCUUGACUGCAAGAUCGACGGAUCAAGCAGGUAGGAAACUAGGACUUAGUGAUCCGGUGGUUCUGUAUGGAAGGGCCAUCGCUCAACGGAUAAAAGGUACUCCGGGGAUAACAGGCUGAUACCGCCCAAGAGUUCAUAUCGACGGCGGUGUUUGGCACCUCGAUGUCGGCUCAUCACAUCCUGGGGCUGUAGUCGGUCCCAAGGGUAUGGCUGUUCGCCAUUUAAAGUGGUACGCGAGCUGGGUUCAGAACGUCGUGAGACAGUUCGGUCCCUAUCUGCCAUGGGCGUUGGAGAUUUGAGAGGGGCUGCUCCUAGUACGAGAGGACCGGAGUGGACGAACCUCUGGUGUUCCGGUUGUCACGCCAGUGGCAUUGCCGGGUAGCUAUGUUCGGAAGCGAUAACCGCUGAAAGCAUCUAAGCGGGAAGCGCGCCUCAAGAUGAGAUCUCCCGGGGCACAAGCCCC